rnacentral:tRNA from 1 species
GCCGCGGUGUUGGAAUUGGUAGACAAGCACGGUUCAGAACCGUGUGCCAGCAAUGGCGUGGAGGUUCAAGUCCUCUUCGCGGCACCA